AAGCCAGUGAGUCAGCUUACCUAAAUGUGUAUAUGCAGAAGCAUAUAUAAAGCUGGCAAUAGUAGUGCCAAUAUACUCAAACGUUAAGGACAAUCAAAGGCAUUAAGGUCCCUGAGAAUGCUUACAACA